GAUGAACGCUGGCGGCGUGCCUAAUACAUGCAAGUCGAGCGAACGGACGAGAAGCUUGCUUCUCUGAUGUUAGCGGCGGACGGGUGAGUAACGCGUGGAUAACCUACCUAUAAGACUGGGAUAACUUCGGGAAACCGUAGCUAAUACCGGAUAAUAUUUUGAACCGCAUGGUUCAAAAGUGAAAGACGGUCUUGCUGUCACUUAUAGAUGGAUCCGCGCUGCAUUAGCUAGUUGGUAAGGUAACGGCUUACCAAGGCAACGAUGCAUAGCCGACCUGAGAGGGACAUUGGAUAGCUGGGAUGUGAGGCAGAGUCGCGACUCCGACGGGAGGAAGCAGUAGGGACUCUUCCGCGAUGCGCGAAAGCGUGACGGAGCAAAGCCGCGGGAGGGAUGAAGGUGCUCUGAUCGGAAAACGCUGUUAGUAGGGAGGAACAUAUGUGUAAGUAACUGUGCAGAUCAUGACGGUACCUAAUCAAAAAGCCACGGCUAACUACGUG
rnacentral:rRNA from 1 species